rnacentral:rRNA from 1 species
CGGCGAGUGAAGCGGCAAAAGCUCAAAUUUGAAAUCUGGCUCUUUCAGGGUCCGAGUUGUAAUUUGUAGAAGAUGCUUCGAGUGUGGUUCCGGUCUAAGUUCCUUGGAACAGGACGUCAUAGAGGGUGAGAAUCCCGUAUGUGACUGGAUGCCUAUGCUCAUGUGAAGCUCUUUCGACGAGUCGAGUUGUUUGGGAAUGCAGCUCAAAAUGGGUGGUAUAUUUCAUCUAAAGCUAAAUAUUGGCCAGAGACCGAUAGCGCACAAGUAGAGUGAUCGAAAGAUGAAAAGCACUUUGGAAAGAGAGUUAAACAGUACGUGAAAUUGUUGAAAGGGAAGCGCUUGCAAUCAGACUUGCACCUGGUGUUCAGCGGGGAUUCUUUCCCCGUGUACUUCAUCAGGUUCAGGCCAGCAUCGGUUUGAGUGGUUGGAUAAAGGCCUUGAGAAUGUGGCCCUCUUCGGGGGGUGUUAUAGCUCUCGGUGCAAUGCAGCCUACUUGGACCGAGGACCGCGCUUCGGCUAGGAUGCUGGCGUAAUGGUUGUAAGCGACCCGUCUUGAAACACGGACCAAGGAGUGUAACAUUUAUGCGAGUGUUUGGGUGUUAAACCCAUACGCGUAAUGAAAGUGAACGGAGGUGAGAACCCUUUAGGGUGCAUCAUCGACCGAUCCUGAUGUCUUCGGAUGGAUUUGAGUAAGAGCAUAACUGUUGUGACCCGAAAGAUGGUGAUCUAUACGUGAAUAGGGUGAAGCCAGAGGAAACUCUGGUGGAGGCUCGCAGCGGUUCUGACGUGCAAAUCGAUCGUCAAAUUUGCGUAUAGGGGCGAAAGACUAAUCGAACCAU